rfam:TPA: Bos taurus chromosome 16, whole genome shotgun sequence.
UCCUUGGUGGUCUAGUGGUUAGGAUUCAGUGCUCUCACUGCAGCAGUCUGGGUUCAAUUCCCAGCCAGGAAA